rnacentral:rRNA from 1 species
CACGUAGGGUGCGAGCGUUGUCCGGAAUUAUUGGGCGUAAAGAGCUCGUAGGCGGUGUGUCGCGUCGGCCGUGAAAACCUGCAGCUUAACUGUGGGCUUGCGGUCGAUACGGGCAUCACUGGAGUUCGGCAGGGGAGACUGGAAUUCCUGGUGUAGCGGUGAAAUGCGCAGAUAUCAGGAGGAACACCGAUGGCGAAGGCGGCAUCCUGGACCAUAACUGACGCUGAGGCGCGAAAGCUAGGGGAGCAAACGGG